rnacentral:rRNA from 1 species
AGAACGAACGCUGGCGGCAUGCCUAACACAUGCAAGUCGAACGCUCUUGGGGCUUCGGUUCCAAGGGAGUGGCGCACGGGUGAGUAGCGCGUGGGAACCUGCCCUGGAGUGGGGGAUAACCGAGGGAAACUUCGGCUAAUACCGCAUGCGCCCGGGAAACCGGGGAAAGAUUUAUCGCUCUAGGAGGGGCCCGCGUCGGAUUAGCUUGUUGGUGGGGUAACGGCCCACCAAGGCUUCGAUCGGUAGCUGGUCUGAGAGGAUGAUCAGCCACACUGGGACUGAGACACGGCCCAGACUCCUACGGGAGGCAGCAGUGGGGAAUAUUGGACAAUGGGCGCAAGCCUGAUCCAGCAAUGCCGCGUGGGUGAAGAAGGUCUUCGGAUUGUAAAGCCCUUUCGGCGGGGACGAUGAUGACGGUACCCGCAGAAGAACGCCCGGCUAACUUCGUGCCAGCAGCCGC